UACGUAGGGUGCGAGCGUUGUCCGGAAUUAUUGGGCGUAAAGAGCUCGUAGGCGGCUUGUCGCGUCGUCCGUGAAAACCCAUGGCUCAACUGUGGGCUUGCGGUCGAUACGGGCAGGCUGGAGUUCGGUAGGGGAGACUGGAAUUCCUGGUGUAGCGGUGAAAUGCGCGAUAUCAGAUGGAACACCGUGGCGAAAGCGGGUCUCUGGGGCCAUACUGACGCUGAGGACGAAAAGCCGGUGGGGAGAAACGGGAUUAGA
rnacentral:rRNA from 1 species